rnacentral:rRNA from 1 species
GACGAACGCUGGCGGCGUGCUUAACACAUGCAAGUCGAACGGAAAGGCCCUGCUUUUGUGGGGUGCUCGAGUGGCGAACGGGUGAGUAACACGUGAGUAACCUGCCCUUGACUUUGGGAUAACUUCAGGAAACUGGGGCUAAUACCGGAUAGGAGCUCCUGCUGCAUGGUGGGAGUUGGAAAGUUUCGGCGGUUGGGGAUGGACUCGCGGCUUAUCAGCUUGUUGGUGGGGUAGUGGCUUACCAAGGCUUUGACGGGUAGCCGGCCUGAGAGGGUGACCGGCCACAUUGGGACUGAGAUACGGCCCAGACUCCUACGGAAGGCAGCAGUGGGGAAUAUUGCACAAUGGGCGGAAGCCUGAUGCAGCAACGCCGCGUGCGGGAUGACGGCCUUCGGGUUGUAAACCGCUUUCGCCUGUGACGAAGCGUGAGUGACGGUAAUGGGUAAAGAAGCACCGGCUAACUACGUG